AACGCAGUUACAAAUAUUAAGUCAAAUAAAAUUUGACCAAAGCGUUUGUAACUAGCUUACAAACGCCAGUUACAAAUAAUAAGUCAAAGAAAAUUAGACCAAAAAUUUUGUAAUUAACUUACAAACGCCAAUUACAAAUAAUAAGUCAAAAAAUAAAUUUUGUUUAUUUUUUUUUGAAGCAACAAAUAUUAAGUUUCUGCCAGUAAAUUAGCUAGAAAAUAAAAAAAAACAAACUCAAACUUUUUGCACGUUCGCUCCAAUGAACUGCUCGAGGUGAAACUUCUUCUCCGCCUUCACUGCUCCUCCUUCUCCUUCGCUGUAUCUCGCUGAAUUCAAUAUUGUUUUGGUUUGUUCGAAUUUGAGAUUAACUUUAGCGGAUUUAUAUCAAGGUUUUUUCCUGUUUUUCGCUAACUCUAGCUUCUUCAACAUCACACAACAAAUUUCUAAAGGGUUUUUCCGAACAAUUCUUUCACUUCCCAUAAACCCUAAUUUGAUAAUUUUAAAUUCAAAUUUCUCAAGGGUUUUUCCUGAUGCUUUGAUCCCCGAUUAUCUGCUCUACCAUGGUUUCCGAUGCGGAUAUAGAAGAUUACAUAUUUGAGUAUUUCGACGAUGAUGAAGACGAGCAGUUGACAUUGAGAAUCAGUUAUAUAACUCCAAAGGUUAUUUUUCGAUGCUUCUUCAAUUUGAUUGAUAAUAUAGGAUUUGUGGAUUUCCUUUGAAUUAUUGAUUUGAACAGCAAUUUGGGAAUGCGUUUGAUAAGUUACUCAAGGCAUUAAAUUCGUCCGAUUGAGAGAAGGAGUAUGGUCGAGCGGGACCUUGAUAAACUAGCGCUUUGCGGGAGGCCCGUACUUUAAUUUGCUUUUUAGUUUAUUUUUUUUUCUUAUUUUUGUGUGUGUGUUUUAUUUUAUUUUAUUUUUUAAUUUUUUUAUAGAGAGGUAAGGAGAGUGUAACUAAUGCUUGUGGGAGUUUGUUUUUAUUUUGAGCUAGAGAAGGCUUCAUUCACGCUGGAACUGCACUCGUAUUCGAUCGGGCGCGCGUACGCAUCAGCAAACUUAGUCAACUUUGACACAGGGGCGGAGCUAGAAGGGGACGAGUGGGGACACUUGUCCCCCCAUUUUCAAAAAAAAAAUUAAAAAAAAAAAAAAUUUAAAAAAAAAAAAUAAAAAAAA